AUGCUUUGGCUUCAAAUCGUAUAAAUCUUUCGCCUUUUACUAAAGAUUUCCGUGGAGAGGAACAGUUACGAGUUUCAACCAAUUUUUUUUUUUUCAACAUAUGUGAAGCU
rnacentral:snRNA from 1 species